UUGACAAUGCUCAAAGGUUAUUCACCGGUUGGGCAACGUUGGGCGACGUUGGUCCAAGCCGGAGUAUAGCAGUCGCGAUUUGGUUUGCUUCAUUGUUGGAAUGGUUUGCUUUUGGCAAAGGCUCAGUGUCCACGCAUUAACUGCAUUUUUUAUGUUAAUACAGCUCGAUGAGAGGGCUAGUUUUACAGUGUGUUAUAAUUAUGCUAACAAUUCCUGUUUGUUUUACUGAUUGUGUGUUUAACCAACAGACAGAAAGUUCAAAUUUUACUGAGCCGGCUCACAGUUUUCCCAUGCAGCAGAUGUUCCAAUGCAGGCUUUCUAGUGCGAGCUGUGCUAUGUGAAUUUAAUUGUUGCACCAUUACUACCGUUCGUAUUACUACCGUACGCUGUCACCGCAACCCCUUCCCUCGAGGUUUUCAAACAAACUGACCAAAGGACAUCACCGGUGAACAAAAUGGAAGAAGGAAAUCUUACAACGGGGUAAUCAGAAACAUUUUAUAUCUGUCUCACAAGAAAGGGAAAUCACUGAACCCUGCCUUACGCGAAUCUACUUUGUACUGUCAUCCGUAUCGUUGCUGGCGACUGAUGAUGCUAACUUCCGUUUCAAUCUGUUUUUCCCGAAAAUGGAAGGGUUGCCGCAUUGAGCUGCCAACGCAAGCUAUUCGAAAGGUUAAUAAGGCAAGUGGUUGUGUCGAGACGAUUAAACGCAACCUAUCGGAUUAGAAAAGAAUGAGCCGCUGGUCAUGAAUAAAUUACAGAUUGUCAACAUGCUUUUCCACACUUUAGAAUCCAAAACAGGGGUUCGGUUUUGAUUUUGAAGACAAGAGAUUUGUAAAUCAUUUUAAACGUUUGUUGUGGUUUUUCGGUCAUAUCAAUAUGGGUAUUAGAUAAAGCUCGUUUAAUGUUCAAGAAAAAAAAACUAAAUCUGUUUUAAUUGUA